CCAAAGCAGAAGCUUUUAUGGAGUUGGUGGCCUGCUUGUCGUGGAUACAGAUCUUUCCUAUGAUGUGUUGGGUCUGGUCUGCUUUCCAGUGCUUCACAUACUUUCCUCACAGUUGAAGAUGUGACUGCUCUGCUUCCCGUAACUGUUGUUGUGUGCUGCCAUGCCGUCCCCACCAAAAUGAACUCAAACUUCCUGGAACCAUAAACGAAAAUCAAAGUGUCCUUCAGGAAAUUGCUUCGGUCAUGGUGUUUCAUCACAGCAGCAGAAACUUGUUCCACUGCUGCCCUCUGUAUGCCGCUAGCUGGCCAGUGAGCUUUGAGCUCCACCUCCAUCUCCCUGUAGGGAUGCUGAGAAUACAGAUGCACAGCCCUGCAUUCAGCUUUUUUCAUGGGUCAUCAGACUUACAUGCUUAAAGCUGGAGAAGCCUGCAACCUGGAGAAGCCAUGUAAACACAGGAGAAACGAGAUAAAGAUAAACAGCUCUGGAUAAAGCAUGAUUCCUGUAAGUCAAGUGGCAGGC